rnacentral:rRNA from 1 species
GUCUAUGUGAAGUUAUAUAAAGUCUAACCUGCCCGUUGAAAUAAUUUGAAAGGCCGCAGUAUCCUAACUGUGCAAAGGUAGCAUAAUCAUUAGUUUUUUAAUUGAAGGCUUGUAUGAAGGGUUGGACAAAGAGAAAGCUGUCUCUUUAUUUUUUUUUUGAAAUUAACUUUUAAGUGAAAAGGCUUAAAUUAAAUUAAGGGACGAUAAGACCCUAUAAAUCUUUAUUUUUAUUUUUUUUUAUCGAAAUUAAAUUUAGUUAAUAUCAAUUAAAAUUAAAUAAUAUUUUGUUGGGGCGACAAGAAUAUAAUUAGUAAAACUGUUCUAAUUAAAAAACAAAUAUUUUUGAUUUAAGUAAAAGAUCCUUUUUAAAGAUUAAAAGAUUAAGUUACUUUAGGGAUAACAGCGUUAUUUUUUUUGAGAGUUCUUAUCGAAAAAAAAGUUUGCGACCUCGAUGUUGAAUUAAAAUUUCCCUAUGGUGUAGAAGUUAUAGAGAGAAAGUCUGUUCGACUUUU